rnacentral:lncRNA from 1 species
UUUUCUGGAAACAAAAGACUGUUUUUCGAAACAAUCCUUCUAGUGCACGCUAAUCUUAUUCUUCCACAACCAAAACCAAACACGCAUUGUUAAAAAGCAAAACAAUACAGAACCUAAACCAAACAGUUGUCUGAGCGAAUUGCUGAGUAUGUGUGUGCGCACGCGCGCCAGUGUUGUGUAGGGAACUUUUUUGUGCAGAAAC